GGGGAAUAUUGCGCAAUGGGGGAAACCCUGACGCAGCAAUACCGCGUGAGUGAAGAAGGUUUUCGGAUCGUAAAGCUCUGUUAUUGGGGAAGAAAAAAAGACGGUACCCAAGGAGGAAGCCACGGCUAACUACGUGCCAGCAGCCGCGGUAAUACGUAGGUGGCGAGCGUUGUCCGGAAUUACUGGGCGUAAAGGGUGCGUAGGCGGGAUAUUAAGUUAGAUGUGAAAACCCUUAGCUUAACUUGGGGACUGCAUUUAAAACUGGUAACCUAGAGUGCAGGAGAGGUAAGCGGAAUUCCUAGUGUAGCGGUGAAAUGCGUAGAUAUUAGGAAGAACAUCAGUGGCGAAGGCGGCUUACUGGACUGUAACUGACGCUGAUGCACGAAAGCGUGGGGAGCAAACA
rnacentral:rRNA from 2 species